rnacentral:tRNA from 1 species
GCGGAAAUAGCUCAGUUGGUAGAGCACAACCUUGCCAAGGUUGGGGUCGCGGGUCCGAGUCCCGUUUUCCGUA